rnacentral:lncRNA from 1 species
UAUAUAUAUAUAUAUAUAUAUAUAAUAUAUAAUAUAAUAUAUAAUAUAAAAAUUGGCCACAUUAACAUGUACAAAGUGGCUGGACAAAUGACAAUCUUGCGGAAGACUGUAGGAUACCCCCGGAAAUUUGAAUGAAGAUCCUGAAUUCUUCCUUCAUCUAAAUUGAUUCCACAAAACUUUCCAACGCACUAUACGACACAUGUACAAAUACGACCAACAUACUCAAAGGGUGGAAUAUGACUAUGAUUCAAAGGACUUUCAAAUCCUUCCAUCAUUGUGUCCACUGAAAAAUUCACCUAGCUAACGACUGAUCCAAAGUGAGAAGGCAACCN